rnacentral:rRNA from 1 species
CACGUAGGAUACUACCUAGUAGCGGGGGAUAACCCGAGGAAACUCGGGCUAAUACCGCGUACGCUCUACGGAGGAAAGCAGGGGAUCUUCGGACCUUGCGCUAUUAGAUGUGCCUGCGUCGGAUUAGCUAGUUGGUGAGGUAAAGGCUUACCAAGGCGACGAUCUCUAGCUGGUUUGAGAGGAUGAUCAGCCGCACUGGGACUGAGACACGGCCCAGACUCCUACGGGAGGCAGCAGUGGGGAAUAUUGCACAAUGGGCGAAAGCCUGAUGCAGCCAUGCCGCGUGUGUGAAGAAGGCCU